rnacentral:lncRNA from 1 species
UUCUUUUUUUCUUCUUUUCUUUUAUAGUCAGUCUUGUGCCACUGACAUAUAUAUAUAUAUAUAUAUAUAUAUAUAUAUAUAUAUAUAUAUAUAUAUAUAAUAAACUACUUACUCUAUAAAUGAAAUUAAAAAACGACAAAUGACUCUUAGUUAAAAUAAUAGACUGAUAAAAAUAAAAUUAAAACAUAAUUAAAAAACUCUAAAAAUAGUGUAUAACUGACUGUCAUCACCGACAUCUGUAGGAAUAUUUUUUCUAUAGUAAACCAUUGUACAUGUAAUCCUUAAGUCUUAAUUAAUAGGUACUUUGAAUUAAUCCAACAUAGAAGAAACAGGGAAUUCAAGGAUUCCCAAUCACCAUUACACAUCUGAAAAACACAAACCUAAUCUCGCCAUGGGCAGGGCAAUUAAACCAUGCAAACCUCUUUUACAUCUCUUUCCUAUUUUUUUAUAUUAAGUUUUGCUAAUUACAUAGUUGAACGACAAACCCUGUGGAUACUUUAUUACUUGUUGUGAUUUGGUGCACUUGCCAAUUUCGUCAUUCACUAUAAGACAAUGAAAUUUAUUAUACACGAUAAAGAGAUUAAAACAUUUACUAUUAUUUAGAAAAAAAUAGGUUAAAAGUCCAAAGUUAGUUUAUAUUCUAAUUCUAUUUCUUCCCAUAUUUCUUAGCAUAAUAGUAUCCAAUUCUUCUUUCAGUAAGAUUUUUGACCGUGCUUGUAAAACAAAGAAAGAUUGUCCAAAACUUUGAGGAGUUAAUGUUAGGUGUCAUAAAGGCCAAUGUGUACCGAUCUAAAACAUCCUAAUAAAAUAAACGAUCUUUCUCUAGUAAGAGAAUUGUACAAUAUAUAUUAUGCUAUAAUAUUCCACUUAUUGUCAUUUAGUUAUUGUGCAUGCUCUCAAUAAUUUUUUUCCUUCUGUUUUUCCCUAAUUUCUUGAACCUUGAAGUUAUGAUUUUGUACUAUAAUAUGAUGGAAAUGAAAUAUGCCCAACUUCAUUUUACAGCAAGGGUGAUGGUCCAAUUAGACAAGUGUACCAAAUCGUUUACCAAGUAAUAAAGUGAUUAGUAGAGUAUCGUAUCUACAUGAACUUUUGUUUCGUCCAAACAAUUCGCGUUACUUAUUUUAAGUUAACGAUAUAAAAUAAAAGAGUUAAGGGUUAGACAUUGCAAUUUUUAUCUGUUUGUAACAGAGCAAGUUACCUAUUUGGUUGCAAAAAAAGUAAGCAGCCAUUAGGACUCUUUGAAUCCUCCCUAUUUAUUUUGUUGGAAUUAAAUAACAUUCAUGUCGCGUUUAGUUAUCUUAAAGUAGACUAUACAAGUAAUGAGGUUGUUGGGACGUUCUAAGCUAGUCGGGUGUUAAGCUGCACCUGCUGAUCGCACAGUGAUCUUUACAUGCGUGGUUUAUACUAUCCCUGUUGAUCUAGGUCAAUUCCUCCAAUGGCUAACUACAGCUACUGAUCGCAUGGUGAUCCUUACGUGCGGGGUCUUGAUAAUUCAAAGGUAAUUGAAACAUAAACUUAAAUUGGCGUUCCUAGGUUUCCAAAGGCAAUAAAGGCCAGUGUUCCCGAAGGUCUUCCCAUCUAUGAAUCUUAGGACACUCAUAACAUACUAUCCUUCUCCACUUGGUAGUUCUAUAAAUGGGAAGCCCUAUCAACAUCUACUUUACCAAGAGGUCGAGGAAAAUGUCUCACUAGGAUCGGUUCAAUUCCCUUGGUACUUGUUUCCCUAAUUAAUUACUAGUUACAUCCUAGGUUCAACAAAUUUUACUCAAUAUUAGUAAUGUCACCUCCUAAGUACUUACUACUAGGGUCAACUCAUUCUCGGUAUCUUUUGUCUAGUUAUUAAUCACUUACUUCCUAGAUAGGUAGAUAUUAAUAUACAAGAUAUAAACAUCAUGAUAGUAAUAUCAAUAUUAGGCAUUGUCACAACCUAAGUACCUAAUAUAGUGUUGCACUUUGCCGGAAUAAACUAAUCCUAAUAAAACAUAACAGCGAACAAAAAAUAUACUAAAAUAAACGACAUUAAAUUAAAUAAUUAUUCAACAAAAUAAAAAUAGAGGUUUAUCUUAGAACCCUAGCCUAUAAGUAUCUGGUUACACAUGAUAACUAAGACAAAAUACAACAAGAUAAAAAACAUACGCUAGAAAAGAUGGAAGAAGAUAGAACUCCUCCUUGGCUCCUAGAAUCGCCUUCUUCUUGAACUGCUCCAGUCCUAAACGAGAAAUUAUGAUUGAGGAAGACAGUAUUAUAGGGAAAGUUCCCACCUAAUUUGGGCUAAAAACAUGGGCUAUGAUGACAGACUGUCAUUCCACAUUUUUAGAGUCUUUUUAUGAUAUUUUUGAGUUCAUAAGCAAGCUUAAACAACAAGAAAAGCAAGAAAAAUAGAAGAUUUUGAAAAAAGCAAAAUCAUGUCACGAUUGUUGAAAACGUGUCACAAUUUAGAGCAUAGAAUGAGGUUCAUUCGACAUUGGUUAAAACGUGUCACUUUUGCUAUUUCUUGACACGAUUUUAGGAACAUGUGGCACAAGAAAAGAAAAUAAUGUCACAACAUGGAAGGUGCAGAAACAAUUGGGCUUUGACCAAAAAUUCAUGAUGUUGACCCAAGAGAAUAGAAAACUAUCAUGCUGCCAAUUGGAAAAGGGAGGAGGUCACUUUGGCAUAUAAAUAUAAUAAGCAGCUCCACAAGCAAAAGGAUGUUGGAGAUUAGGAUUCACGUCUUGGAAACUAGGAGGUUGAAAUCACGGUUUUGGGAUUGGAAGCCGCACUCAUCAUCACGAUUUGGAAAAGAAAGAAAAGGGCCGCACGCAUCACGAGAGAAGGGGAAGCACAUGGAAAUAGAGAGCAACAACACCGAUUGAAUUAGAUUGAAGAGUAACACUGGCAACGACGGAACUCUAUCGGUUUAUUUUCUUUACUAUAUUGUUUAUUUCUUUAUUCAUGUCUAACUAAUUCUUUAGGUUAGGUCUGAGAUGAUUCUUUGUAACCUUAAUUGAAUCAUAUUGCUGUGAAACUCAAUUUAUUGUGAAUGACAAUCUAGUUUUUAUUCAAUUCAAUUGUUCUUAAUGUUUUUUAUAUCCUGAUCAAAUAUAAACAUGAUUUAGCCAUAACGAAUGACUACUGACCCUAGCUUUCGACUUAGACCUAAUUGAAUUGUUCUAAUAAGCAUGGUUAGUGUAGGAAUGGAUAAUCGUUUGUUAGUGAUACUAGGUUAACGUGCUUAAACCUUCAAAGAUUAUUAGACCACCUAAGGAAUUAGGGGCUGUAGUUUGAGAAGAGGGUCCUAACUCAAGGGAUUGAUUAGGACUAUUUUGUUAACUAUCGUGGAACUAGAAAAUCAUUCAUAAGAAUAGUUUCAGUAUACCAAUUAAGGGAACAUCGAUGAUUCGAAAGACCUAGUCUCAUCUCUCCUUAUCUUUUCCAAAACUAUCUUUAUUUUAUGUUAUUUAAUUUUAUGCAAUCCAAUCAAAUCUACUGCCCAGGGCAAACAAAAUAAUUUAUACAUCCUAAAUAUUUACUUUAUUGCUUGAGAUUAAUACAGUCCUCGUGGAUACAAACUUAUUUUAUUACUUCGAUGCAUUUUUAGUACACUUGCUAAAAAAUCUAUCGGGCUUCUAGGGGCGAAAAAGUCACAUAAAGUGACUUUUUUCGCAAGUCACCAUGCGCCAGUUGUAACAGCCCAAUUUUAGCUAGAUUUAUUUUAAUUACUUUUAUUAUGUGGUUUAUGUGUUUGUGUGUGAUCAUUCUCCAUUGGGUGCAUUUUCAUGGGUUUCUGUGUUAGAAGGGUAUUUUAGUCACUUGGACUUAGCGGUAUUUUGAUCAUUUUGUGAGAACAGGUAAAAAUUAUAAGUUUUGGUGAGAAUUACUUUUAGUGAUUAGUGAGAAUAGUUAUUUCAUUAAGUUACUAGAGUAAAAUUGAGAUUUUACCGUUUAGUGACCGUUAGUGACAUUUUACCGUUACUUGAUCGUUAUUAGUUAAUUACCGGUUAGAGUGUAGAAACAUUUGAGAUGUGAAUAGAAAUGGAUUAAGCCCACUAGAAACUAGGUUAGGCCCAUUAAGGGUUAUACCUAAGGAGUUUUUUUAGGAAAAUAUCACUUCAUUCAUUUCAUAAGAUAUUUUCUAGAAGGUGUUAGAGAGAGAAAGUGGGAGAAGAGAAGAACAAGGGUUAGAGAGAAGAGGAACUUGAAGAAUUCAAGGGUUUGAAGAAUCAUAGGAGCAAAAGUGAAGCAUGAGCUAAUAGUUGGUGAUAAUUAAGGUAAGUGGGUUAGUUUUUAUCAUAAUCAUUUAGUUAAUUUUUUCCUCUUGUUCUAUGCAUAAUUGAUUAUGAGAAUAAGUGAUUAUCAUGAACCCAAUCUUUGAAAUUCGUGCUUAUGUGGUAGAGAUAUGUUUGAAUAUGUUAAUUUGAUGUUAAAUGAAUUGUUGAUGAUGAAAUUGCAAGUUCAUGAUGUAUGAAAUUGGGUAGUUUGUAAAUUAUGCUCAAUUGGUGAAUUAUGCAUGGUUGUUGAUGAAUUGUGAUAUGUUUCAUGAUUAUUGGUUGUUGUUGUUUUUUAUUCAUAUUGUUGAUGAUGAUAUAUGUCUUGGGUUUGCAUGAUUCAUGAUUUGUUGUUGAGAAAUGGAUUGUUGUUGGUGGUUUUGUGAAAUUGGUGAAGUUGAGUUAAGUGUUCAUGUGAAGGACCAAAAUGAACUUUUGAUGUAUAUGGUUGUUGACUGAAAUUUUGAUGUUGUUGGAUGAAUUGAACUUAGAGAAAUUUCUGUUUUCAUGUUGUGGUUGUGUUAGUCGAGUCGUUUGGGAGAAAACGGGAUUUUCGUGUGAAAUGUCGAGGUUUAAGCGUUUUCGCCAACAAGUGAUUAUGUGAGGUUUUGGAAAAUGAUUUUUGGGAAGAUUGAAACAUGAAAUUUCUGUAGAUUAUGAUAGAGCUAAGUGUCAGGAGCGUGUAGGCGAAAACGGCGUCAAAAUCCGAUUAACGGUUUGAAUUUUAUGCGCGAAAUGGUGAAAACGGAAAAACGAAGAAAAAGCUGUGCUGUCAGACGAGCACGACCCUGCGAGUGCAUGGCACGGGCCGUGCGUACAACUCUGCUUUUUUUUGGCAAGGCCGUGCGUGUGCACGGCACGGGCUGUGCGUGCUGUUAGGACUUCGGUCUUCUGCGUUUUUGUGCUUUUUCACCCAUUUCCGUUUUGAAUUGAUUUUUGGUGUAAACAUGAAAGUUUUAGGUAAUUUUGUUAGCUUUCCAAUGGUUUUGGUUUGACGUCCAAAUGAUUUUUAGAACUUGAGUUAUGAUCAAAUUACUACACAUGGGUCAUGUGGAUUUUUGUGAAAACUUAUCAUAACUUUUUCUACGAGCCGUGAAACUUUUUCAAACUUGAUAUUGGGUCUAAUGAAGUACUUAGAGUGAAUAAUUGAGUAUGCAUUUAUGUAUUUGGGAAUGUGAAUGUGUUGAUGGUUUAAGAAAUAUUUUGGGCGGAGUUGAAUCGGUGAAAACGGGUUUUGAGCUAAAUGUCGUUUUGUCUUGGAUUUUCUCAUACGAACUUAAGCUAUCCUUUGAACUAAUUUCUAAUAGUUUGUAAGUGGCUUAAGUCCUUGGCUACAUGAUUGAUUAAGAUUGAAUUGUAGGAUUUCAAACUUGAAUAAGUUGCCUAACUUUGAAAAUUAUCAAUGUUGGCCGUUUGCCACAUGAUUUGGAUUUUUGUCGGAAAUGUUUCUUUAGCAAAUUGUCUUGUGAGUUAUUGAGAUUAUUCUUGUAUGACUAAGUGAAGUUGUAUGAAUGAAUGAUUGUAUUGGAUAUGAUGUUUAUCAUGAGAUGUGUAUGCUAUCUUACUUAGAAUGUAAGGAAUGCUUGAAUGGUGAAACUAUAUGUGAUAGUUGAUGUUGAAUGACAUUGUUGAUUAUUGAUAAUCAUUUUUAUGUGUGAUGAAUUGUAGAUGUUGAAUAUGAUAUUUUAUCAUGAGAUGUUGUUUUCCCUCUUACUUGGAAUAUGAGAAUGCUUGAAUUGGUGAAACUAUAUGUGAUAGUUGAUGUUGAAUAACAUUGUUGAUUAUUGAUGAUCAUGUUGAUGUGGUGAUGAUGAAUGCUAUGAUUUAAUUGUGUAUGGGCAUGUUUUCUUGAUAAUGCAAAUGAUGUGGAGAUGAACAAUAUAAUUGGGUGUCGUCCUAUAUAUUGUGGACAAAAUUGUGAUUGUUGUCGCAUUAUCGAGUCUUGUUACAUGUCCAUGCAUCAUAGUCGUGUGGCUGUAAAAGAGUUGAGCUCUUUUACUUCGAGAUUAUUGUAAGGCAGGUGUGAGUCCUUACAUACGAUGUGCAAGUGGCAUCGAAAGGUGACGACCUUGUUGAGAUUUGGUAUCACAUGCAUUUAUGUGUCAAUAAGUGCAUAUCAUGACAUGAGUCUUAAAUGAUGUAUGUGAUUGAUGAUUGUCCUUGAUACUUGUGAUUGAUGAUUGUACAUGAUACAUGUGAAUGAUGUUUGUUCAUGAAAUGUAAUUGGUGAAUGUUCAUGUCAUAUGCGAUUGGUGAUUAAUUGUUGUGGAGCAUUGGGGAUAGGAUAUAAGUAUUAAUAUGGGAGUAUUAGUGUUGAUCAAGUGCAUGAUGUUUAAUUUGUAAUAUUCAUGUUAACUGUUAUUUGGAUUAUGAUAAUAUAAUGCUUACCCCUAGUGGUUUCUAACCGCCUACUUGUCUGUAUGGAUGAGUAGACGUUGUGCAGGAGUAGUGCUCGGUGAGUUUAUGCUUGGUGAUAUCGGGAGCUUUCUCCGAUAUCGGUGUAGAGUCGGCUCUGAUCUAGGCUUGUUGUGUCGGUCUAGAUAAGGUUAUUUUCAUAUUUGUUUUGUCGGAGAUUAGCCGUUGUUGGGAUUUUUGAGAUGCAUCUAUGUUGAUGUAAUUUAUUUAUUCAUAACAUGUAUAUUUGAAUUUACUCUGGUUUAUAUUCUUCUGCGAUUGUUGAGGUUUAUAUACAUGUUUAUUGGUUUUUUAAUUUUGAAUGUGGCGUAGCCUCUAUUUCUUGAAUAAAUGUAUUAUUCGCAUGUUUAAUUGCUUUAAUAGAAAUAGGAGCGUUACACCAGGCACCUAAGGCCAUGCGCUAGCCGCAUGUGCUUGCCAUCCUGAGGCGCCUAGCGCCCCCUGGCAUGCACUAGGCGCUUUACCACAACAUCUAUGGGGUGCCUAGCCCCCUCUAUGGUGCGCCUGAGUGCUUCAGUGCGUUUUCUGUGCUGUUUUGCAUGUUGAUGUGUUUUCUUCAAUGUAAGAUGUAUUAGAACUUGAGAAAAAAAUUACUCCCUCUGUAAAGUCUUCUGAGGUCUCUUGAAUCUUCUUUCUUCAUCUUUCCAAGGACCACAUAAAUCUUCGGAUGUCUUGCUUUGCCUGAUUUGCUUGAUUUCUUUGUGAAUUACUUCAAGAACACCCUAAAAUUAACUCAUUUACUAAAAUUGACUGAAAAACAUGUUAUGAGUAAAGUAAGAUGACAUGUCAUCAAAGGGGUAAGAAAAUAAUAAAAUUAUUUAAAGGAUGACAAGUUAGUAAAAUUUUAUUCAAUUAUUUUGAUUAUUAUAUUUAUUACAUGACCUCCUUCCUAAGUGUGUUUAAAGGACAUAAAUAACACAUUGAUAUAUUUAAGAUAUAUUCAGUAAUUAUUCUAGAAUUUUGAAGGGUUUUUAAAAUUUUAAAAUGAUUAAACUAUUUAAUUAUUUCUAUAAGACGAUACAAUUUAUUAUACACUAUAAAGAGAUUAACUCAUUUACUAUUAUUUGGAUUCAAAUAGGAAAAAAUAUGGCUAAAACUCCGAAGUUAGUUUAUGUUCUAAUUCUAUUUCUUUCCAUAAUUUUUAGCAUCAUAGUUUCUAAUUCUUUUCCUGAUAAGAUAUUUAUUGGUGAUUGUAAAACAGAUAAAGAUUGUAAACCAAAACGAGGAGUUAAUUUUAGGUGUCGUAAAGGAAAAUGUUAUCCAAGAUAAAUGAGUUCUUUCUAUAGCAAGAGACUUGUACAAUACUUUAUGUUAGAAAAUUCCACUUGUUGUCAUUUACUUUUUUUUGUGCAUGCUUCAAUAAUUAUUAUUUCUUCUUCUUCUUCUUUUUCUGUUUUUCCCUAAUUUCCUGGACCUUGAAGUUAUGAUUUUGUACUCUAAAAUGAUGGAAAUGAAAUAAUCCCAACUUUAUUUCACAACAAGGAUUGGGAUUUUGGAGAUUUUAAAGACACUUUAUUUGGAGCUAAGGACUGCAGAAUUUGUGGUGGCAUGCCAUCCAAGUCAUAUUUAGACCAUAUUUCAUGAAAUGUUGUCUUUAUUUAAUCUGGUUAUUUGUGCUUUAGCAAUGAGUAGUUAAAUUUCUCGUGAUUAGGUCUAUAAGAUAAUUAUGUUCUAGCUGUUUGAACAAUGAAACUAUAUUUAAUACAAUUGCAAUUCUAGUAUUUAUACAAUAUAACUUAUGUUUAUUGUUUUUUGUAUCUUCAUCACAUUUAAAAUGAACUCAAAGAUCAAUUGACUAUUAACAUUAACUAUUGACUUAGAUCUAGUUACACUAGUCAAAUUAAAUAAACAAGUUGCUUUAGAGAUAUCAACCUGAUAGGUUGUGAUUAAAGAUUAAAAUUCAAUAAAACCUUCGAUGUUAUGGACUCAUCUAAGAGAUUAGUGAGUUUUAAUCUAAGAAGAUGGUUUUAGUCAAAAGAUUGAUUAGAGCUGUUUUUCUUUUUAAUUAUAAUGAAACUAGAAGAACAAUUAUUGGAUUUAGGUGCAGUUUACCAAACAUUGACGAAUAUAGGAUUCAAAAGACAUGAUCAUUUUUUUCUUCUAAAAAUCAUUACCAAUCUAUUUACAUUUUGCUAUUUAUGUUAUGAUUGUUAAACAAACUAUCUGCAUUGUGCAACCCCGCAAUUUUAAAACAUCCGUGUUGAUAAUGUCUCUGCCUAGUAGAAACUAAUGCAUUCCAAGUGGAGAUGAAUUUUAUACUUUAUUGCUUCGAUAAUUUUUAGUACACUUGCUUUGAAAGACUCCUCUCUAAAAAUAUUUCAAAAAUCCAAUUUUAUUCUUCGGUUAUUAUUUAUAAUUGGAAUCAAACUAAAUUGGUCCCUUAACUAUAAAGUGUCUCAAUUUGGUCCCAUAAAUCUUUUGCCGUUUACUAUUUUGGUCAUCUCCGUUAUUAUUUUGCAAAAUCUGUUAACUAUUUUCAUAUGUCAUUUAAGAUUGGUGAUCAACAGUUAAAUUUGAAAAACACACAUGAUAUACCAUUGACUUACGACAUAUGAUAACUAUUAUUCACCUUAACAUCAUCACCCUUUUUGAAACACAAAAAUUCACAAAAUUAGAACCUAUAUCCCUAAUUCAUCUCUUUCUCCAUCAAAUUCAUUUUCUCAAGUUUAAAAAUUGGAUUCAUUUGCCUCCAUUACAACAAGCAACAACACACACUUAUUAUACAUAAAUCACCAUAAUUUUUAAGCAUUGUAUACAACACAGAACCCAGCCAGAGCAACACUAACUCUCCUUCCCUCAUUUUCACCAUGAAACAACCACCACCAACUAAAUCAUCACCGUUCACUCCUCCACUGCCUCCCACACCAACCACCGUCCAUCCAUGUCGUAAGCCCACUGAUUCUUGAUAAUCUCGCUUCGAUUCUUUAUUUGGAAUCUAAAUCUGAAUCUCACGUUUAUAUGAAUGAAUCCGAAUCUGAACACUAUCUAUAAAAGUGUCAAAGAGAAAAGGGUCAAAGAUUGAGAAUAAAAAAAAACAUUAAAAGGGUAACUUUUUUUUUCUGGGAAUGGUGAUAACACAACCUAUAAGAGGGAAGAACAGUGGUGGACGAUGAGGUUGAUUUUAUAGUGAAGAGUGAUGAAAUGAAAAUGGAGCAGUGGAACCAGAAGGAAGAACAGUGGUGGAUAAUAAAUGAAGCAAAAUCAGAAAUCUCACCUUCUUCAACAUCCUCAACUUCUUUCCCAUUUCAAUCAAAUUCUUCAAUUUUCAAAAUCCAAAAACAAUCCAAAAACCAUGAAUAAUGAACCACAUAGAAAAAAAAAAAAAUCACACAACAACAAUACAAACAAAAAACCAUUAAUCGGUUUUGGAUUCAAAAUUGAACAAACAAAUUAGGUUAAUAAAUUAAUAAGUUAAGGUUACAAAUUUUCAAUUUUCGAUAAUGUUACAACGAAAUCCGUUUUUCGCGGUGGCGUAUCGAGUUACUGGUGAUCGGAAUUUUCAGAUCCGAUGAAAAAAAUCGUGAACUUUGAAGAAUGAAAAAUGAAGCGAGAAAAAAUUGAAUACGAUAAGAAAAUUGGAUUAUGCGUCGGGAUUGUUAAUGAUGAAUUUUUGAAAGGACAAAAAUUGGAUUUUUUUUUAAGGUUAUAUGAAGAUGAAUAGGGAAGAAGAUGACAAUAAAAGUUAUCAUAUGUUGUGAGUCCACAGUAUGCCAUGUGUGCUUUAUAAAUCCAACCGUUGAUCAUCAAUCUUAAGUGACACGUGGAAAUGAGUUAACAAAUUUUGCAAAAUACUAACGGAGAUGACCAAAAUAGUAAACGACAUAAGAUUUAUGGAACCAAAUUGAGACACUUUAUAGUUAGGGGACCAAAUUGAAAACUAAAAAGACCAACUUAAAAUUUUUAAAACAUAAGAGAGCAACUUAAAACUUAAAGUAAACAUUAGGGACCAAACAUGAAAUUAAGCCAUAAAUUUAUAUAAUUGGAAAACAAUCCAUACAGAAAAACAACGCAUUUCUAGUGUUUUUUUUUAAUUAAAAUAAAAAUAUAGAUUCGGGAAUUUGCUUUAUUUUGCUAAGUAGUAAUUGGCACAAAAAUGGUCCUCUAUUAAUUCUUCUGGUAACAAACCAAUGCUUUAUGCUCACAAUAUAUUAUAUAGUUGAACUUGAGAAUAAUGCUCUUAUGCGGCCCUAUUCCGUGUGACAUAUGGUCCAGAAAAUAAAUAGACUAAGCAAUAGAUACAACAUCAAAAAUUAUAAAUAUAGAAAGUAAAUUCAAUUCCCGUGAGUCCACUUCUCCAUAAUUAAAUUGUGUGAAUUCUAGCCACUAGGCUACUUGACAAAAAAAAAAGUAAAUUCAUUUUACAUGUGUGAAAUUAAUUUGUAAACUCAUACAAGUUCACCUCAUAUUAAAAUUACAUACGUACAUACCACUACACGAAACUCUCGAUUUGCCUUCGGAUUUUCCUGCGGAAUCAAGUGAUAAAUCCGCAGGAAACAGGUUCCCUGCCGAUUUUGCCAAGGAUUUGCACUUCCAGGUAAUACCUCGUGGGUAAUUGUUUCCUGAGGAUUUUUGAAACAGCAGGAAACUUUCUUACGGAAAAGCCAAUAAUAUCUGCAGGAAAUGUUUGGUCAGAGUGGGAGAGAUUCCCCUGCCCGUCAGUGUUUCCUGCGAACGUUCCGCAUGUAAUUCUCAGGUAAUGCUGCAGCAGAGAUAUUUCCGCAGGUAAUUCCUCAGGAAACUGAACCAAUCCGCAGAAAAAUCCCCAGGAAAUUUAAUGGUUCAUCAGAGCAGUCUGUUUCAUCAGUACAAUUUUUUUGAUUAUUUUCUAUUAAUGAAUGCUAACAACCAUAUUAAAAGUCAUUUUUAAUUAUUAGUUUGAUAUAGAAGUUUAUAUUUUUUUUAAAGAUGACAUAGAAGAUUAUUAGAAACUAUCUCGAGUCAAAUUUGGCACAUAGCAUAUGCGUUUUUUUAAAAACAUGUAAAGAGGUAAAAAAUCCAAAAAUAGCAUACACUCAAAAAAAUGGCAAUAAAAACUUGUUCUUUGUAACAAAAACACUAUUCAUAAAAUACAUCAAGUUUCCAUCAUUAUGAAGCUGCAAAAUAUGCAUAAUAAACAUUUCAACAAACACUAUAAUAUGACAAAAUACUCUUGCAAGACAUAAAAACAUUUCACUUGUAUUAAAACUGCCACAAAAGGGCAUCAGAACUACUUGCAAUAUCUUGAAACAGAAUCAACACUCAUACAAUGGCAUUGGCAGCACUUGCAAUCCUAGGCCAAAGAUCAGCACACUCCUUACCAAUUGGUCCUGUGAUAGCGGAACCUACAAUGGACAACAUGACAUAGAUGUUAAGACCCAAAUCAAAUGAUACCUUUCAUUUCUUCAAAAACCAACAUCACAUAUUAACAAGAGCACAACAACAAAAGCAUAUAAUUAGAAUUGAGACAUUGUAUAAAUCUGAUAAAAUCACAUAUUGAACGAAUAUAAAUCUAAUCUGGCUAAAAGUAUGUUAAAAGUACAGUGAUCGAAUUGAUUGAAAUGAUAUUGGCUAAAAAGAUGUCAAAGGUACAGUCAACUUCAUGAUUCACUAUAAUAAUACCGAGAACAGACAAAGAAAUAGGCCGAAACAUAGAGCAAAUUCUAUAGUUUGGCCAAUUCUUUCAGGUGAAACUCUCUCUCACUACACUAUAUCAAGUACAGUCAAGCUAAUCCGCUCCAUAUCAAAGCAUCAAAAUUUAUCAACAUCUUCGUAUGAUUUGAAAAGUCAUUAAAAAUAUAAUCUUUUACAGGUUUACACGGGAAGAGAUGCAGGUUAAGAUGGAUAAAUUACUUAACGCCUGAUUUGAAAAGAGGAGCAUUCUCACAAUAAGAAGAGAAUUUGAUCAUUGAACUUCAUGCAGUACUUGGCAACAGGUAUUUGUGAUUCUGUUGAGAAACUAUAAUAACUACUUUUCAUAAGUCCUUUUUUAUUUUUUUAUACUAUAGUUUUCGAUUUUAAUCAUGUGAAGGAAUUAAUUGUUGUUGUUUUAUAUCAGAUGGUCUCAGAUUGCAGCACAAUUACCAGGAAGAACUGUCAAUGAUCCAAAAACUCACAAACCACUCUCAGAUGUUGAAAAUGACAAUGAAAAAUCACUCAAGAAGAGGUUGAGACAAAGUGGCAUUGAUCCAAACAGUCACAAACCACUCUCAGAGGUUGAAAAUGACAAUGAAAAAUUACUCACAUCCAACAAAACCAAUCAAAUAUAGGAAUUUCUGAAUAUCCAAAUGCAUCUAUUUGUUUCACACCAACUUCAACUUCUUCACAAAUUAUGUCAGAUACAAAUUCUGUAAACUUCAAAUGCAAGGACAUGCAUUGUUAUAAUGCAAUCAAAGUAAACUCAGUAAACCCAACAGUCAAUUUCCUUAAUAUAUAAAAUCUUAUCAAUAGCAGCAAGAAUGUCCUCUCAUGCUUCUGAUCAAUAGAGUUUAAUAAACCUCAAAGCAUUAUAACAAUGCAUGUCCUUGCAAUCAAAGUAAACUCAGUAGAAAUAUAUAUGUAACUGACCAAUUAAGUUUCAACUUUGCACAUAAUAAUGCCAUGAAUAAUCACAACUUGCUUACAUAAGAUUUUCACAUUUUCACAUUUGCUUACAUAAGACUUUAGAGUCUUCUAUUCGCUUGUUGAGGUGUUUUCUUCAAUGUAAGAUGUAUUGGAACUUUGGAACAAAAUUUCCCCCUCUGUAAAGUCUUUUGAGGCCUAUCAAAUCUUCAUUCUUCAUCUUCCCAAGGACCACAUAAAUCUUCGGAUGUCUUGCUUUGCCUGGUUUGUUUGAUUUCUUCGUGAAUUACAUCAAGAACACCCUAAAAUUGCUAUGUCUCGGGAAGAAUAGAAUUAUAGACUCAAAUAUAGAAAACAAUACAAAUGUUCUGAAAUCAUAGACAAUUGAUCUAAUACUCCUCUGCUUUCUGGUAAAACCUACUAAAAUUGAUAAGAAAACAUGCUAAGAAUAACGUGACAUGAUAUGUUUUUUAAAGGAUGACAAGGUAGUAGAAUUGUAUUCAAUUAUUUUGAUUCUUAUGUCUAUUACAUGACCUCCUUCCUAUGUGUGUGUUUUUUUUUGAGAGAUUCCUAUGUGUGUUAAAGAGACAAAAAUAACACAUUGAUAUAUUUAAGAGACAUUUUGUAACGAUUCUAGAAUUCUGAAGGGUUUUAAAAUUCUAUAAUGCUUAAACUAUUUAAUUAUUUCUAUAAUACCAUGCAAUUUAUUAUACACUAUAAAGAGAUCAACUCAUUUACAAUUAUUUGGAUGAAAUAGGAAAAAAUAUGGUUAAAACUUCGAAGUUUGUUUAUGUUCUAAUUCUAUUUCUUUCCAUAUUUUUUAGCAUCAUAGUUUCUAAUUCUUCUCCCGGUAGGUUAUCUUUUGGUGAUUGUAAAAUAGAUAAAGAUUGUCCAAAACUUCGAGGAGGUAGUUUUAGGUGUCGUAAAGGAAAAUGUGUACUCGAAUGAGAUAAAUGAGUUCUUUCUAUAGCAAGAGACUUGUACAAUACAUUAUGCUAGAAUAUUCCACUUGUUGUCAUUUACAUUUGUUUGCAUGCUCUCAAUAAUUAUUUUUUCUUCUUAUGUUUUUCCAUAAUUUCCUAGACCAUGAAGUUAUGAUUUUGUACUCUAAGAUGAUGGAAAUGAAAUAAUCCCAACUUCAUUUCACAACAACGGUUUCAUGUAAUGUUGUCUUUAUUUAAUCUGAUUAUUUGUGCUUUAGCCAUGAGUAGCUAAAUUUUUCGUGAUUAGGUCUAAUAUGAUUUUGUUAUAACUGUUUGAACAAUCUAAACUGUGAAACUAUAUUAAAUACAAUUGCAAUUUUAGUAUUUAUACAAUAUAACAUAUGUUUAAUGUUUUUUUGUAUCUUGAUCUAAUUUAAAUGAACUUAAAGAUCAAUUGACUAUUAGCACUAACUAUUGAUUUAGAUCUAGUAACACUCUUCAAUUAAAUAAGUUGCUUUAGAGAUAUCAACCGAAUAGGUUUUGAUUAAAGAUUAAUAUUCAAUAAAACCUUCGAUGUUAUGGACUCACCUAAGAGAUUAGUGAGUCGUAAACUAAGAAGAGGGCUCUAGUCAAAAGAUUGAUUAGGGCUUUUUUUUUAAAAAUAUUUAAAAAAAUAGAAGAACAAUUAUUGGGUUUAGGUGCAGUUUACCAAACAUUGACGGAAAUAGGAUUCAAAAGACAUGAUUAAUUUUUUCUUCUAAAAUUCAUGACAAAUCUAUUUACAUUUUGCUAUUUGUGUUAUGAUUGUGAAACAAAAUAUUUGCAUUGUGCAACCCGCAAUUUUAAAACAUCUGUGUUGAUAAUGUCUCUACCUAGUAGAAACCAAUGCAUUCUACGUGUAGAUUUCACAACAACGGUUUUGGAGAUUUUAAAGACACAUUUGGAGCUAAGCAUUGCGGAAUUUGUGGUCGCAUGCCAUCCAAGUCAUAGUUAGACCAUAUUUCAUGUAAUGUUGUCUUUAUUUAAUCUGAUUAUUUGUGCUUUAGCCAUGAGUAGCUAAAUUUUUCGUGAUUAGGUCUAAUAUGAUUUUGUUAUAACUGUUUGAACAAUCUAAACUGUGAAACUAUAUUAAAUACAAUUGCAAUUUUAGUAUUUAUACAAUAUAACAUAUGUUUAAUG